CCAGGAGCGAGGGGGCGGGCUGUCCUCGGCGUUCAAAGCCCUGCGGGUGGGUGCGCCGCCUCCGCCACCCGUUGCCACGCUUCCCCUCGGCCCGCGGGCCGGACGGAACGACUGUGGUUCCCCGAUAUCGCCCCGUCCCGGGCCCUUGCUGUUCCUCCUGUCAGAAACGCCCUUCCCAUCUUUGACUACCCGGCCUUAGGGUCGGCCCCUCGGUCUGGACUUCGUCUCUUUGCGUGGGCCUGCCCGGAAACCGCUCCCCCUACCCCCCUGCCAGGCCCCCACGGCCUCAGCGAUCCCCCCCCCACCGCCCCCCGCACCGUCGCACCACAAACUCUCCUAAUCCUCCACCUGCUGCCCCCUAGCUGUGAGCUCCAGGAGGGCACCCUCGCAGCCCCCUGCCUGGCCCUGGGUGGGUGGGCGCCGGGAAAACAGAGAGGAGGCCUUCAGCCAUACCAGUCAUGAUACUAAGAAGCCUUUGGGGCAAGCCAGCGUGAGGGGGGGCAGCGGAGAGAAUUCCAGACUCCUAGGGUACAUCACAGGUAGGCGUCCGCCAUAUCCUUGGAUCACAAAGCUGGGUGACCUUUCUCCCCACCUCCAGCCGGGGCCUUGUCCUGACUGCACAGGGCCCCCAGCUGCUGCCCUUGGCAUCAACCACUGACGGCCCCAGCCUCUUGAUUCCCUGCCCCGGGAUCCCAUGAUGCUCUGCGGCAUCAUGGGCGCUGAACCCUCUGCUCAGUCUGCUGGUUUCCUGGGGCUCUCUCAGCGCAGUGCUAGGUAGGGCUCAGCAAAGAAAGCCCCCCCCCGUCCCCUGUCCCACCCGAGGCUAGAUUCCAUCCUGGGACUCUGUUCAACCAAGGCGCCUCAGAGGGAGACAGGGCCCAGGUACCCUCCUUUGGGGGGGGGGGGUUUCCAUAAGUUAAAAAACACAGAAGCAAAUUGGCCAGGAGCCUCGAGUAGGUUCCAGUGUCUCAGGAACUGAGGUUUACACACACACACACACACACACACACACACACACACACACACCACCGUAUAACGGGCUAUGUACAUGCACACAGACCCCAGGGCAGCUCUGAAAGGGGCCCUCCAGUGCCUCCCCAGGAGGAGGAGAAUGGGGGGGGGGGUCAGGCAGCGUGUAGGGGGUGGUAGUGACGCAGGGAUGAACGCGCUACCCGCAGGAGCGCCUGCCUGGGUGGGCAAAGCCAGAUGUGAGCCUCAGCCUCCCCUCCCCGCCAGCUCCAGCUUUUCUAGAGACCUCGGAGCUCAGCUUUCCUCUCCCCAGGGCAUUGGGCAUUCUGUCCGCAGCUCCCUACUACUACCACCGCCACUCCCGCUUUCCCCAGCCCAGCCCACCCCACUGUGCUGUCUGCUGGGUUCAGCAGAGGAGAGAGAGGACAGAAAACAGGGGGCUCCCGUUGUGGGGGGCAGCAGGCAGGAGAGCUGACCCCCACCGCUGUCAAGCUUCUCAGCCCGUUUUCUCCUGUUUCCCGGAGGGCUGGACUCAUCUCCUCCUUCCCACCUUUAACAAAUGUUUACUGAGCACCUACUGUGUGCCAGCGCGGGGCAAGGGCAGAUCCAUCCCCGAGUGGGGGAAACAGACAAAUAAAAUAGACCUGCAAAUAAGGGCUAUGAUGAUAGAACUACACCCAGCGGCAGACAUCAGGGAAGGCUUCCUGGAGAAAGUGGCAGCUUGGAAGCAAAGGCCAGGACGGGGAGAGUUAAGUGGUGGGAGGGCAGAGGGCACCGUGAGGGGGCUGGAUUGUGUGAGUGGGAGACACGGGAAGGACCUGCCGCAGAGGGGGAGGGCAGGUUGGUGUGGCACAGGCCAGGGGGACCGCGCAGGGUCUGGGUAGGUGGAGCAGGACCCCGCAGGACCUGGGCACCUACAGAACCCAGCCCAGGCUGUCCCCACUCCUCCGGCGAGGGGACUCACUGGGUGGGACCCACAGAAGCCGGAGGGAUUAAGUUGGGCUAGAAGAAAAGCCCAGCCUGGAUUUCAGACCACCUGGAACGGACUGGCCAGAGGUGGGAAUGGAGAAACGGGAAGCGAGCCUCCGAGGAGGAGGAGGAGGCGUGCUGGCCGGGGCUGGCCCCAACGUGGCCGGGAGUAGAAAGGGCCUGACCCGCUAGCCUAGAAUACCCUUUCUUCCGACUACCUCUUAUGGAAGAGAUCCCUGGCAGACUGCCUCCGGUCCCGGCCUCCCGGCUUAUAACAAUAGGGAGAAUCAUGGUCAUUGCCACCAUCAUAGCAGCUAACGUGUAUGUAGUAUUGUCCUUUGAAGUCAUUCCUAUAAUCCUCACAACAAUCCUUGAGUAUUGGUCAAGUCAGCUGCCCCUGGCCACCCAGCCGGCACGAACAAGGUGCAGCAGCGGGUAUAAAACGCAGGAGUGAGGAAAGGCCCUGACAAAAAAGAGGCGGGAAGAUCAGCGUCAGAGAGAGAGAAAUCGGUAGAUGCUUUGCCGUUGGCUUUGAGGAAAGAGGAAGGGGCCACGAGCCAAAGACUGGGGGCAGCCUCUAGAAGCUAGAGAAAGCAAGGAAACAGAUUCUCCUCUAAAGCCCACGAAGGGAACACGGCCCUCCGACACCUUGGCCUUGGGUCUUCUGACCUCCAGCCCGUAAGAGAAUAAAUGCGUGUCGUUAACGCCACUAAAUUUGCGGGUCAUGGGUCACAGCAGCCACGGAAAACUGAUGCAGAAGGAAUGCACCACCUCACCUCCAGCUUAGCCGGGUCUUGGCCAGCUCUGAUGUUCCAGAAAGAAAAGAAAUAAUCUGAGUGACCCUGCUUUGCAAACGAUUAAAGGGCCAAGGGGCAGGGGUGGGAGCUUCAUGAAGGCACCUGGUCAUGCGAGGGUCCUUCUCUGGGCCUUUCCAUCUGUAGUUUCCCCAGGGAACAAGUACAGCCUGUUCGACCGGCUGGGCCUCUGGGCCCGAGCCUACAAGGUGAGCGGAGGGACACAUUAGCUGCCCUCUAACCCCCUGUCUGUCUUCACCAGGAGCCCUGUGGUCACAAGCACAAGCUGGAAACAAGUUGCCCAGGCUCGGAGUCUCUGAGCCAUCACGGGCGUCUCUGGGCAAAUCUCUCCAUCUCUCCGAGCCUCGGUGCCCUCCUCCCUAAAAUGCACAGAUUAGAUACACUGGAUGCCGUGUUUGUGAAGAGCUCUGCGCGGGGCCGGGCACGCAGGCGUAUCCCUGUGUAGGGCUCGCUCGCAGCCACGAAGCAAUGAAGGAGAUCGCGUUUGCAGAAGCCUGGGCACAAUGUCUGGCGAUGGAAAAUUCUCGGGAAGUGUAAUCUCGUCAUUCGCAUUAGCGUUUCUGUCUCUCCCUCCCCCUCUCCCUCCCUCCCAGCCUUCAGGACCCUGGAGGUCCAGCUGGGCUCCCCCUUCCACCCCCAC